rnacentral:rRNA from 1 species
UACGUAGGGUGCAAGCGUUGUCCGGAAUUAUUGGGCGUAAAGAGCGCGUAGGCGGUUUAUCGAGUCAGCUGUGAAAGUUCGGGGCUCAACGCCGGAACUGCCGUUGGUACGGUCAGACUAGAGAGCGGUAGAGGAGGCUGGAAUUCCUGGUGUAGCGGUGGAAUGCGCAGAUAUCAGGAGGAACACCAGUGGCGAAGGCGGGUCGCUGGGCCGCAACUGACGCUGAGGAGCGAAAGCGUGGGGAGCGAACAGG